AAAUUCUAGCUCUCUACCUCUUAGAACUUUACUUGGAUUAAUAAUUUUGUGACAAAUUAUUGAGGAAGAAUCCGAGAAAUGAGACAGUAACACAACAUUCACUGUUGCUACAUUUUUAUUCCAUAUGAGGUUACUAGGAAACUACCUUCUAUUUGAUUGGUUUCUUUUCUACGGUGGGAUGGAUCAAAAAGGGAAACUUCCAUUUCUUUUCCUUAUCCUCUCCUAUAAAACGAGGCCUAAUCUUCGACUCAUUUAUACUUAAAUCAGUGUCUACAAUACAGCAAAACUAAGUAAAAAUAUUUCUUUAUGACACCAUGAUGGUUCCCAAGAAGGCAAUUGUCUACCUUCUCCUGUCUUUGUUCAUAAUAUACGAUGUUUCCUCCAUGGUGACUGCUAUCGUCUCCAACGACAUGACUCCAGCAACAGUACAGAAAAACAAAGUGCAUACGAUUUCCCAUUUUGUACCGCGUGUUCACCAUAGUCCAAUUCCAGGUGCUCCUGUUCCAAAACCACCUGAAAUUCGCCGUUCUUGCUGUUGGAGAAGAUGUCUCCUGUUGCUGCUCUGCUGCAGAGGAUGCUAAGAAAAUCGGAUCUCAUGAUUGACCCUAUAAUUAGUGAGUUCCACUCACUUUAUUAUCACUUUGCUGUGCUAGAUUUGAUAGAAUUGACGGAAGAGAGAGUGAGAGAGAGUUCACCUCUAAGUAAGAAAAAGAAAAAAUAUCAUAUUCAAAAAUAUUUAUAAA